rnacentral:rRNA from 1 species
AAUGAACGUUGGCGGCAUGGAUUAGGCAUGCAAGUCGGGGGAAUCCCAGCAAUGGGGGAACCGGCGUAAGGGGCAGUAAGGCAUGGGUACCUACCUUGGGGUUCGGGAUAGCCAUCAGAGAUGGUGGGUAAUACCGGAUGACGUCGUGAGACCAAAGAUUCAUCGCCCUUAGAGGGGCCCAUGUGAUAUUAGCUAGUUGGUGGGGUAACGGCCCACCAAGGCGAAGAUGUCUAGCGGGUGUGAGAGCACGACCCGCGCCACUCGCACUGAGACACUGGCGAGACACCUACGGGUGGCUGCAGUCGAGGAUCUUCGGCAACGAGCGCAAGCUUGACCGAGCGAUGCCGCGUGAGCGAUGAAGGCCUUCGGGUUGUAAAGCUCUUUAGUGGGGGAGAAAGGCCGCAAGGUGUGAUCUAUCCCAAAAAUAAGCACGGGCUAAGUUCGUGCCAGCCGCCGCGGUAA